rnacentral:tRNA from 1 species
GGAGAAGCUGUGGCUUUAUGGCAGAGCAUCUGUUUUGCAUGCAGAAGGUCCUAGGUUCAGUUCCAGGUAUCUCCA